rnacentral:lncRNA from 1 species
CGAGAUUGUGUAUUUGGAGAGUUCCAUAGACGAGAAAUCCAAUUGCGAAAGUCGGAGGAGAAGUUUCAUCUUCUGUCUCUCCGUGCCCCUCCCUUUCGUCCUCCCACCUCCACUGCUGCUGCAAGCCCCUUCUCUCUUUCCAAUUUUAUUCAUGUUUUUGGCUAUUUGGGAAUUGUUGUGUUUGACUAUUUAAUUCACUUUAUGGGCUGCUAUUGGCAUCAUGACAUUGUGAGAGCAAGUGCACUUCCUCAUCACAACGGAAAACGAAAGAGAAAAGGAGAUUUGAGAUUAUUUAAAUAUCCUUUUCAUAAAUCUUGUUUAUCUUCUUUAGUAAUAAAAGAAUGACUACUUCUCCCAUGCGUCACCUUCACGAUUUUCUCCAAAUUUCAUUUUCAAAUUUAAUAGGCUAGGUUACGGCGACGUUAGGUUGCAGGCCUCAUAGGUCACGUUGCUGAAGCUCAUCUUCAAAGACCCAUGUUGACCUUCCUCAUCUUCUUCGUUCUACUACCAUUUUGUGGCUCAUUUCAAAUUUCAAUUUCAAUUUCAAAAACAGAAGCUUUCAUCUCACUAGCUUCCAGACCUAUUUGGUGACCUAGGGUAGCUAUGUUGAUUCUGCAUACUAUAGCAAAAAUCCCAACCAGAUAUCAGUUAUUGUGUUUCCAUUUCAACCUUUGUGUUUAACUUUCGAUUAGUUUUCUUUCAACCUCAUUUCUCUAUUCUAGUUGCAUGUUCGGCAACCUAAACAGGAUCCUGCAUUUUCAUUCUCCAUUGUAGUAAGGGUCUCAACCUAUGCUGAUUCAAGAAGCUUACCUUACUUAGUAAGGGUUUUUCUAUGUAUCGUCUCAUGCUCUAUAUUAUACAUGGGUUAAUGGUAUAUUAUCUAUUGUUUAACAACCUUCUUUUUGAAUUCUUGUGUUUUUUCUAUCUUAUCGCACUUCUAUUUGCUGUCACCUUAGCUCAUUUUUGCAUUUUCAUCCUCUGCUGCAUGAAGCUUCUGCACGUCUUAAAACUCAAUAAACUCAAUAAGCUCACCUCACUUUGUAAGCAUGUUUCUAUCUAUGGACUCAUGGUUUGUUUUAUAUUUACAUUAAUGGAUUUUUAAAGAUGGUUUAACAACCAUGUUUUCAAUAUUUUUAAAAUUUUGCAGUUGUUGUUGAAAGUUUAAUGGUCGCUGGUAAAGAUGUAAGCUUUUUACUUUCUAUCCUUUUUGUAAUAUAGUGGUUCUGUUUAUAAUAAUUGUGAUCUGUGUAGCACUAUCCACUACUUUAUUUUAUCUGGAUAAUGCUAUAUGAGUCUUUUUGCAUUUUGUUUGAAUGAUAUUAUAUUUUUUUAUUUGUUUUGAACUAAUUUAUGAGUUGCAAGUUAUGUGUUUGAUCUAAUGUCCAAAUGAACUUUGAGAUGUUUUAGCUGAUAUAAUGCCUAAGUUUAUUAUAAAACAUGAACUUUGAAAAGAAAAUUGCACAUGAUUAGUUCAACCAAAUAAUUUUUUUUCAAGUGAAUAGGGAUUUUGAUCCUUGUCUUUGUAUCCAUUUUACAAAUUAGUCCCUAUCUUUUUAAAAUGUAAAAAAUAGUCUCUAUCUUUGUCGUUAUAUUUGAAAGUAACGCUAAUAGUGAGGUACAUUGUUGACAAUUUUAGUGUCACGUAGACUAUCCAACGUGACACUAAAGUGUGUGUUUAUAAAGCUUCUCCGACACCCAAAAGUUCCAAACAACGUUGUGUGUUGUUGUCGCAACAUUCUUUCAGACUCUUCUUCUUCUCAUACAUUCAAAGGUGGCUGUGUGUUGUUGUCGCAACAUUCUUUCAGACUCUUCUUCUUCUCAUACAUUCAAAGGUGGAGCAGAGACGCUGGUGGGGAGGGAGCUAGCAAUAGCAAUGGGGUCCAAUAAUCAUGACAACUCAAAGGAGUUUCUAGAACUCAUAAAGUCCACCUGCGAGUCCCGAUCCAAGGCCGAGGAGGAUCGCAUCGUCCUCCACGGGAUUGAAGCCCUAAAACGCCGCAUCAACGAGGCAGGGAACAAUGUCUUAGUUGCUAAUUGUUUGUUAAUUUUUAAAAUUUAUAAACUAAAAACUAAAAAUCACCUCAAAUAGGGUCUUAGUUGCUAAUUGUUAAACUUUUUUUUAUUAGUGGGAAAAAUCAAACCCACAAACUUUUUCUCCUUUUUUUUUUACUAUCAAACCAAUCUUAUAACUCUAAAUAAUGACAAAUGAUAUAUAUUUUAUAUAUCUUAUUAACAUAUGUCUCGUCUUAUACACGUGAAACAUUACACACGUGAAACACAAGAUAUGUGUGCUAUACACAUACAUAUAUAAAUGUGGUAGUGACAAAAAUCAUGAUUACAAUUCACACACUUAUCUUCUUUUUUUUAAAAUUUUGUUUUACCCUUUUUUAUAAAUAGUUUCAAAAUUUUGUAAACUAAUUAGUAAAAAAAUUUGUUCGUGUACAGUGAAUUUUAUUCCCUUAAGUUUGUUUGUGGGGGUAAUUUGAUCCACUUUCAACCAUUCCCAUCAUUAGCAUUCAAUUAAUUUACCCGUUUAGCUAAAGUAAAGUAACGUAACGUAUUCGUGUCUGUGCCAAAAAAGUAAUAAAUUCAUGUCCCUAACCUGAAACUCAAGUCACCAAGUGUGUCCAAAACAAUUCAAUAUAAUUGAAAGGAAAGAAAGAAAAAUCUCUUGAAAAAAAGAAAAAGUUAAAAGUAACUUUGCCGACAUUUAAAUUACUUUAAUAUUUGGAACAAGAAAUUUAAAUCUCAAUUAUGCAAACAAUCAAGCAUAUAUAACGUAUAUUCUCCAAAUGAAGUGAAACUUAAUAAUUAAAAAAGAACAUAUAAUAUGCAUAUUGAAGUAUUUGAUGCACAUGAGAUUCCGAAUAUUUAUAAUAACUACACAUAUUUAUAUGCCUUCUUCUUCUGAAUGCAGAUAGUUUCCGAUACAAAAACCAAGCAGAAAGCCAGAGAUAGACAUGAUUCAUGGAUCUCUAAA